rnacentral:rRNA from 1 species
AAAAAGCGGAGGAAAAGAAACCAACAGGGAUUGCCCUAGUAACGGCGAGUGAAGCGGCAACAGCUCAAAUUUGAAAGCUAGCCUUCGGGUUCGCAUUGUAAUUUGUAGAGGAUGCUUUGGGUAAAACGCCAGUCUAAGUUCCUUGGAACAGGACGUCAUAGAGGGUGAGAAUCCCGUAUGUGACUGGAAAUGUUAACCUAUGUAAAGCUCCUUCGACGAGUCGAGUUGUUUGGGAAUGCAGCUCUAAAUGGGAGGUAAAUUUCUUCUAAAGCUAAAUAUUGGCGAGAGACCGAUAGCGCACAAGUAGAGUGAUCGAAAGAUGAAAAGCACUUUGGAAAGAGAGUUAAAAAGCACGUGAAAUUGUUGAAAGGGAAGCGCUUGCAAUCAGACUUGUUUAAACUGUUCGGCCGGUCUUCUGACCGGUUUACUCAGUUUGGACAGGCCAGCAUCAGUUUCGGCGGCCGGAUAAAGGCUCUGGGAAUGUGGCCUCCACUUCGGUGGAGGUGUUAUAGCCCAGUGUGUAAUACGGCCAGCCGGGACUGAGGUCCGCGCUUCGGCUAGGAUGCUGGCGUAAUGGUUGUAAGCGACCCGUCUUGAACA